rnacentral:rRNA from 1 species
AGAGUUUGAUCCUGGCUCAGGAUGAACGCUGGCGGCGUGCCUAACACAUGCAAGUCGAGCGAUUCUCUUCGGAGAAGAGCGGCGGACGGGUGAGUAACGCGUGGGUAACCUGCCCUGUACACACGGAUAACAUACCGAAAGGUAUGCUAAUACGAGAUAAUAUACUUUUAUCGCAUGGUAGAAGUAUCAAAGCUCCGGCGGUACAGGAUGGACCCGCGUCUGAUUAGCUAGUUGGUAAGGUAACGGCUUACCAAGGCGACGAUCAGUAGCCGACCUGAGAGGGUGAUCGGCCACAUUGGAACUGAGACACGGUCCAAACUCCUACGGGAGGCAGCAGUGGGGAAUAUUGCACAAUGGGCGAAAGCCUGAUGCAGCAACGCCGCGUGAGCGAUGAAGGCCUUCGGGUCGUAAAGCUCUGUCCUCAAGGAAGAUAAUGACGGUACUUGGGGAGGAAGCCCCGGCUAACUACGUGCCAGCCGCCGCGGUAAUAC